rnacentral:rRNA from 1 species
GACACUUUAAAUAAGUGUUAAAUGCUACAUUAAACUUAUCACCACGCAUACGAUUUUGUUUACAGUAGUAACAAUUUCAGCGUGUUUCACAUAUCAUACGCACGUGAUUCACUGGAAAUUACCCUACAUUCAGUAUCACUUACGCAACUGCAGACAGCUGCUUAAUACAGUCACACUUGUCUUGACUUGGCGCAAUAAAAAUUUUUCAUUCGAAACACCCGCUCGCCGGGCACGUACGGGUGAAUUAUUUUUAUUUUGUUGCAACACGCACAACAAAAUAUAUUUUGAUUUCUCUGUAUCGCUUAUCAUUUAAAGACACAUGCGUUACACCGUGACAAUUUUCUUUAUGGAUAACUCAGGGAAAGUUUGGCUAAUACGUACGAGUACUUUUUUUUUACCACACACACACACACACACACUCGAUUCAAAAUUUAUUUUUUGUUAUUGCCGUGUAUCAACACACAUAUAUAUAUACUCAGCACUCAAUGGUAAACUUUGGCUGCGCUCGCGCAGUCAGUUUAAAGUUUAACUGCAACAUGAGAGACAUUGAGCACGCACGUGUCGUGUCUUCGGGCACGUCACAUCACGCUGAGCAGACUUUGCGAAGUUUACUUUGCGAAGCAUGUCAUACAAGCAUCUACAGCAUCAAGUCACAGGGUUGGCAAGUGUAUUUUUGAACCUUCAAAGCAGUCACGCAUACGGAAGAGUAGUUUCUGAUCCCAUAGAAGGAGCACCGUACAAUGAGAGACCGCUCUUAGUUCUAAGGAACGCAGCAGGCGCGUAAAUUGCCCAAUGCUAGUACCCUACAAUCAAAUUGUAUUACCAUGCAUUACACACAAUUUACAACACAUAACAAGUUUACCCGUGUUGCAUUAUCAUAUAACACUAUACAUACAAUAUUUUAUUCUGUCAUCACACACACACACACACACAGAAUACAUCCUUGUUCGUUGUUUAUUCAGCAUAUAUAUAAUAUUAAUUUAUUAUGUUUACUGAGGCAGUGACAAGCUGUAACGGUUGAGUAUAAAAAUGACGAGUGUCUGGCAUUGCCGCUCUUUCGGGAGCUUGGCAAGUUGCCGACGCUUUGUGUGCUCAAUUGGAAUGCGGUGAGUUUAAGCAACUCAGAACCUUUGGACGGUGUUAGUAAUAUUUCACNNNNNNNNNNNNNNNNNNNNNNNNNNNNNNNNNNNNNNNNNNNNNNNNCCGCGGUAAUACCAGCUCCACUGGCCUAUACAAUCAUUGUUGCGGUUAAGAGGCUCGUAGUUGGAUUGAACUGCAAAUAUGAAUGAAUUCUCAUUCUGUUUGGAAGUUUUACGCGUAAUCAUUAAUUUCCACAAUUUUUGGUUUUGCGUUCGACGCUGUUAUUUAUUUACACGGCACAAAUAUUUUUUUUUAUUUUUGUCCCGCGCAGCAUAUACUCACACACACACACACACACGUUAUAUGCACACACACACACACACAGCGCGCACAAAAAAAAAAUAUUUGAUCUCAUCAAACACUCGCUCAAAAUUUAUUCUCCUUUCAACACUGUGAACAAAUCAAAGUGUAUCAAACAUGUCGUUUUUGAAUGUGCAUUGAAUGUCUUAUCAUGGGAUGUUGCNUUUUCUACGUNAAAAAUUUUUACAGCAUUACCCCGUAAUANUUUUACACACACACACACACACACACACACACGGUAUAUCAAAGUAUUUACAUUGUUGCGGCCUUUUGAAGGAAGUUAUACUAACAACUAUUUACAGCGAUAUCCGUCACACACGCACAUGUUAUAUGCCACGUAAAUUUUUUUUUAACGGUUAAAAAUGUCGAUGGGGAUAGUUGGAGUCAACAGUACUGCUGGGCGAGAGGUGAAAAUUCNNNNNNNNNNNNNNNNNNNNNNNNNNNNNNNNNNNNNNNNNNNNNNNNNNNNNGUGUAUUUAUAUAAUAUAUAUAUACGUAUUUUUUAUGCGACACUCACACACACACGCCAACGUAGUUACCUGCUAUUAAUUUUUCGCGUUCAUACACACACACACACUCCGACGCACACACGCAAAGAAAUUUUUUUGGCGCGGUAUUAUCUACGUAGCAUAUUAAUACUAUAUACAAUAUAUAUAUAUAACACUUUACAAUGAAGAACGAAGGUUGGGGGAUCAAAGAGGAUCAGAUACCCUCGUCGUCCCAUUAAUUACAUCAAACGAUGGGCUCUCAAUUGCAUUUUUUCAUAAAUUGCAAAUUUCCUCAGCCUACAAAAUGACUUGGCUUGAGCUCGUAUUCUUUUAUACGCUCGCCUAACUUUUUUCGUACGGUCUCGAUGGACGUUUCAUUUAUAUUUUUUGCGUGUAAGCAUUUGUUAUUCUUUGAAACAUAAGAAUGCAUUGCGUGCACUUGAUUUUCGGAGCUUUGCGCUCAAUUCUGGUGAGAUGUAAGCACUGUGUCAUACUACCCGCAGCAUAUGUCCUCGGGCAUUUUGUCUGUCGUGCGUAGUUGACAAUCUUGGUGUGAAGCACGCUUUAGGCACGCGCUUACUGCAGAAAUGUCUGAGACAUUCCCCUCCGGGGGUAGUAUGCACGCAAGUGUGAAACUUGAAGGAAUUGACGGAAGGGCACCACAAGAACGCGUGGAGCAUGUGGCUUAAUUUGACUCAACGCGGGAAAUCUUACCGGGUCCGGACACACUGAGGAUUGACAGGCAAUAUUAAUACGUUGUUAGUUUCGCGACUCAGCGCGUAUUAUGUUAAAUAUGCUAGUCCUUUCAUGAUUAUGUGAUAGGUGGUGCAUGGCCGUUCUUAGUUCGUGGAGUGAUCUGUCUGCUUAAUUGCGUUUCACUAAGGGCUUAUAAAUUUACGUGUGUUGCGGCACUUUGACCCCUUUCAAUUUAUUUUGAAAGCGCGUGUCUUAGUUUGCUUUGCUCACACAAUUAAGUCCUGAAAGCAACGAACGUGACCGCAACCUCUUGUUGCCUUUAUACCAAACAUGUUUAUUUAUAUAUAUAUUUUUUUAUAUAUAUGCAGUAUUCAUGAAAAAAGGCUUUUUAAACUAGAGGGACCGCUGUUACUUUCUUAAACCAGAGGAAGGUUGCGGCAAUAACAGGUCUGUGAUGCCCUUAGAUGUUCCGGGCUGCACACGUGCUACAAUGAUUAUUGCAGUGAGCAUCUCAUUUUUACACACCGCAUGCGCGAGUCCAUUUAUUCACUCUCUGAGUGUUUUAAAUGUGUAUCUCUGCGCGCGGUAAAGCCUGCUUCGAGAGCAAGUGGGUAAUCAAUUAGAAGUAAUGAUUUCCGUAUUAGCACACAUAUAUACGGCAUCUUUACCCGGGUUACCUUGUUGUAACUUUUGUGCGUAUAGAUGUUUUUUCCGUAUGUGCGAUUGUCAAUUCAUGGUGGGGACAGACCAUUGUUAAUUGUUGGUCUCGGUCUUAACUAGGAAUGCCUUGUACGGGUCUUUGGUUCAACAAACCACCCGGAAUACGUCCCUGCCCUUUGUACACACCGCCCGUCGCUCUUACCGAUGGACUUCUCUGUGAGUUUGAGGGACUGGGAACGCAGCAAAAUUUUAUUAUUUUCUCGCACACCUAUGGAAACUUAAACGAACAGUGUGGUCUAAAGGAAAGAGAAGUCGUAACAAGG